UGGACACAGUUCCACUGUUCCACAGUUCCAUUGUUUGGCUGCAUUGGUAAAGCAGACACUGGCGAAGCAAAGGCAUGCCGAUCUGGUGUUCUUCCUGAGCUGAACCCCAGCGCCCAGCUGCCCGCUGGAAGUUUCCUCUGCUGCCCCUGGCACCUCGAGCCCGACUCUGCUCCCUCCACUCUCUCAUCACCUCUCGAACAACCCAGUGCGUCUGCUGUCUCCCCGCACAGCCCUUGCUGCGUGAACGGGGGAGGGGGGAGCACCUCAACUUCACGUCCCAGCCAUCGGUGGGAACACGGACCUCACCCCCCUCAGCUGAGUAAACCCACAGUCCCUCCCCAUUACCCCACUCGUAAUUUCACCUAUCAUUAGGCUUUCCGUGAGUAAAUAAAUGAAACCCAGAUAACUGCUUAUAUCCAUAAGUAAUCAAAAUGUAUUUAGUGCUGUAGCAAAUAGUUUGUUUUUCUAAUUUUCCUUUAAUUAGCAGGGAAAGAAUUAAAAUCAAUUUCUCAUCCAGCAGAUAAAAAAUUAGGCUCUGCUUCUGCCCGCCCUUACACAAAUCCAAAUUUUCAUGUACACCAGAAACACAAAUUCAUAAUUGUUCUUUAAUAUCGUAUGUAUCCAAUAUUAAGCACAUUUCUAUGACAUUUAUCUUAUCUCCCUGAUCACAGCUUAAUAAAAUUAUAAUUACGACCUUUGCAAGUAUUAUUGCCCGAUCCACAUUUAAUCGGCAUUCUUAGCUUGAAACCUCGACUCUUGCAAGGGGGUGCAUUUCCUCGGCUGACAGGGAGUCUGGACGGCACGCUCUGAGAGGGAGGGCGAGUCUGUCCCUGCUCAGCCUUGUUCCCCAACGCCCAAGGCAGAGGCUCGAAAAACAGUCGUUGAGUGAUGAGUCAACACGUGAGGUGUUUGGGCAUGUCUUACAUUUAUUCAGUUGGUGCCCGUGAGAAUGUGGCUCACGAGGCCCAAAGGGAAGGGGGCAGAGCCCUGUUAGGAAGGAGCUAGAAAUUAGGCCAGGUUGAGUUGGCAAACAUACCUGCUUGGAUCAGAACUGUCCUGAUUGGCUAAAGACGCUGAGCUCUCCAGUGACUGUGGACGCACAGAGCCAAAUCCCUCCUUUUAAAGAUCCCGAAUGUGACAGAUGUCAGGCAUUGGUUUGCUCAGGCCUGGGUGCCUGUCUGUUCUCAGGGGAACAAUCUGAUUUCUCCCAUGGGGUGUUGUUGAGACUUGCCCGUCCUUUCUGGGGACCGCCAUGGCGUGUGCGGAAGGACUGCACACGUCACUCGUGGCCGACGAGGGUCCUGGGUGCUUUGACCAAGGUUAUAAACGGCGGGAGAAUAUUUACGACGGCUUCAACGUUUCUCCUUCAGGCCUAAGGAACAGCAAUGUGUUCUAGGGCAGGGAAGGCCAGAUGCUACCGCGGUCACUUACGAUCCCGCGAACAACCCUGUGACCCUGGGUCGCGAGUGCACUCGUUCUUUCCCCUGGGAACCAGCUCCACGGCUCCAAGUGACGCGACCAGACCAGCGCCCAGGUGGAGCCGAAACAAAGCUUCUCGGAUCUGACUUUCUGACGCUGCCUCCUGUUUGGGCAGGGGGGAGGGAACGAAGGGAAGAAAAUGUGAUGUGUGCUCUCGUGCCGGUAUGGCCCAAUUUGGAAACCUGCAGAUCUGUUUGAUUUCGACUGGGGGAGAGAAGACAGCGUUUGAAGUUAUUUUGGUUCUUCUGUGCAGAAAUCACACGCUACACCUCACAAAUUCGACAAUUUCAUAGAGCCGUAGUCAAGCGUGUACUUAUAAAGGCAACGUACAGCAUUUCACACUUACACAGCGCUUUCCGAGUCCUCCGCACGGCACGGGCACUCGAGAAUGACUACCCUGUGUGUUUGGGAAGUGCCAGCCUCACUCCGCCCAGAGAAAAGCAGGACUUGAGCCGUGGUGUUAAGCCACCAAGCCCAGACCCGAGCUAAAGGGGCUCGACCCACAUCUUGGGCUCCGGAUAUCGCACUAGGACCCAAGAUUGUGGGCAGCAGCAAAGAGCCCAGAGGAGGAAAUGGAUUCUUCUUGCUUGUUUUAUGGUCCUCAGGGUGUUACCAUAACAGCAUGGAUUCUUUCAUGAACUCAGCGGAACAUAUGGGGAACCUAUACUUAGCUUGUCAUUUCAAGCCCUUCCUCCCCCACACACAGCUCCCCCCCCCAGGAGUCCUCAA